ensembl:lncRNA
GAGAGGCUGGCAGUUCAGGCUGAAAAGGAAGAGACAAAGGCGGCCCAGAGGGAGCCUGGCAGACACUGGUGUGCCAGCCUGCCCUGGCCCCCCCAGCCCUCGAGGCCCGAGUGGAGGGGGCUGCGGGGACGCAGGCCUGGCCCCCGUGCUCAUGCCAAGGGCCCAGACCAGCCUGGGGAGAGCCGAUGGGAGGAAGUGGGGCAUGGAACAGCCACGGCGACGGGAACGGGAGUGAAUUCUCCCCCACAGGGGCGGGCGGGACCGCCUCUUGGCCGAGACUUCCUUCAACCACGACCACUGGACUCUGGAAGGCGGGCUGGGGGGCAGGCGACAGGGAGGCCCUGGCAUGGGCCCACUGGGCGGGAGGCGGCUCCGGCCUCCUCCGGGAACCCCGGCGGAGGUGGGGCUCCAGAUGUUCUCCACAUGCUUGGCCCUGGCUCCAGGCAGAGGAAUGUGGUUGCAGAGAGGUGCCAGGAGAGGCCAUGGGGGAGGGCCUGCAACCCGCCCCCCUCGUAGGACCCAGACCUCCCAGGGAGGGGGUCCCAGAGGUCAAGGCCUCCACUGCCCCUGCCUCCAUCUCCUCGUGGGAAGCCACCACAUCCUGUGGCUGAAACUCCUCGCCACUCACUGUGCUCGAGAAGUCACUCAGCGGAUGUCUGCCGGGACCCUUCUGAAGACCAGGCGCCCCAGACUGUGUGCACAGUGGGCAACGGCGCUGUGCGGGGAGGCCCCGCUGCCUGUCCGGGGAGCGGUGCCUCGCAAGGCGGCGCAGGCGCACGGCAGCUUCUUCCACUGCCUUUGGAGUUUUGAGAUUCCUAACGCUAACUCUUGAAGCACUGUCUUCGGGUACGAGUGUUGCAAACCUCACAUUUCAUACUGAGUGUGUUCGUGGUCCUGGCGUCAGGCUGCUUUCACUAAGAUUGCUGCUACACGCACUUGCACACGAGCCUUUCCCUGGGGAGGAGCUUCGGGGCCGGGGACCAGAGCGCACGUGCUUUCAACGUCACCCGCCAACACGCCCGGUUCACAGCAAGGCGGCGCCACCUGGUGAUCUCAAGGGCACACGCCACUGUUUUGGCGUGCAUGUGCAGCUCUCUGCAGCUUUAUCCCGUGUGGAGCCCUGUGUAACCACCGUGACAAUUAGGAAACCCAGCUGAGCUGUCCCCGAGAGAGCCGCCGCCCCAGCCGCCCUGCUCUGCCCUGUUGUUCCCCAGUUGGCACAGGGGUGGGUCACGCGCCACGUGGCCUUUUGAGUUUGGUUCUCCC